UACAGAGGGUGCGAGCGUUAAUCGGAAUUACUGGGCGUAAAGCGUGCGUAGACGGUUAUUUAAGUCGGAUGUGAAAGCCCCGGGCUCAACCUGGGAAUUGCAUUCGAGACUGAAUAGCUAGGGUGCGGUAGAGGGAAGCGGAAUUCCCGGUGUAGCAGUGAAAUGCGUAGAGAUCGGGAGGAACAUCUGUGGCGAAGGCGACUGCCUGGACCAGCACUGACACUGAGGCACGAAAGCGUGGGGAGCAAACAGG
rnacentral:rRNA from 1 species